UAGGGAAUAUUAGUAAUGGGCGCAAGCCUGAACUAGCAACGCCGCGUGUGCGAAGAAGGCCUUCGGGUUUUAAAGCACUUUUUGAGAGGAUGAGGAAGGACGGUACUCUCAGAAUAAGUCUCGGCUAACUACGUGCCAGCAGCCGCGGUAACACGUAGGAGGCAAACGUUAUCCGGAUUUACUGGGCGUAAAGCGCGUGUAGGUGGUUUGGUAAGUAGGGCGUGAAAGCUCCUGGCUCAACUGGGAGAGGCCGUUCUAAACUGCCGAACUAGAGGAUGGUAGAGGGAGGUGGAAUUCCGGGUGUAGCGGUGGAAUGCGCAGAUAUCCGGAGGAACACCAGUGGCGAAAGCGGCCUCCUGGACCAUUCCUGACACUCAGACGCGAAAGCUAGGGUAGCAAACGG
rnacentral:rRNA from 1 species